UACAGAGGUCUCGAGCGUUGUUCGGAUUCAUUGGGCGUAAAGGGUGCGUAGGUGGCGCUGUAAGUCGGGUGUGAAAUCCUGAGGCUUAACCUCGGAACUGCAUUCGAUACUGCGGUGCUUGAGGACUGGAGAGGAGACUGGAAUUCAUGGUGUAGCAGUGAAAUGCGUAGAGAUCAUGAGGAAGACCAGUGGCGAAGGCGAGUUCCUGGACAGUUACUGACGCUGAGGCACGAAGGCCAGGGGAGCAAACGGG
rnacentral:rRNA from 1 species